ACAAAAAUGUGAUUUUGGGCUUGCAAAGUGGUUGUCACCAGAUGCUGAUAAGCAACAUGUCACAAGAUUUGAAGGCAGAUUUGGGUAUUCUGCUCCUGAAUAUUUGACGCCUGGCAUAAUAGAUGAAAAAACAGAUGUUUAUGCAUUUGGGAUCCUCUUGCUGGAGAUUUUAACCAGGCAUAAGGCCUAGGAUUAUUUGCAACAAAGCAUUUUGAUAUGGGCAAAGCCAUUAAUUGAUGCUCAUAAUGUUAAGGAGCUUGUUGAUCCAUCGCUUGGUGAAGAUUAUGACAGAGCAGGUAGAACAUUUUUUUUUUACUGUUUCUCUACUGUAAAUUAAAACUUUCUAAAUAUGGCAAAGGAUAUUUGAGGAUAAAUAUUUGAGAAUUUUAUAUAAUUAGAUGAUAUUGAAAUAUUAA